CAAUAGCGUAUAUUUAAGUUGCUGCAGUUAAAAAGCUCGUAGUUGGAUUUCGGGUGGGAAUGGCCGGUCCGCCGUUUCGGUGUGCACUUGCUACGCCCACCUUGCUGCCGGGGACGUGCUCUUGAGUUCACGCUCGGGACACGGAGUCGGCGAGGUUACUUUGAGUAAAUUAGAGUGUUCAAAGCAGGCCUACUCUCUGAAUACAUUAGCAUGGAAUAACACGAUAGGACUCUGGCCUAUCUUGUUGGUCUGUAGGACCGGAGUAAUGAUUAAGAGGGACAGUCGGGGGCAUUCGUAUUUCAUUGUCAGAGGUGAAAUUCUUGGAUUUAUGAAAGACGAACUACUGCGAAAGCAUUUGCCAAGGAUGUUUUCAUUAA
rnacentral:rRNA from 1 species